rnacentral:tRNA from 1 species
CACUUCGUAGCUCAGUCGAUAGAGCAACAGGCUUUUAACCUGUGGGUCCUGAGUUCAAGUCUCAGCGGAGUGA